UACGUAGGUGGCAAGCGUUGUCCGGAAUUACUGGGUGUAAAGGGAGCGUAGGCGGGGAGACAAGUUGAAUGUCUAAACUAUCGGCUCAACUGAUAGUCGCGUUCAAAACUAUCACUCUUGAGUGCAGUAGAGGUAGGCGGAAUUCCUAGUGUAGCGGUGAAAUGCGUAGAUAUUAGGAGGAACACCAGUGGCGAAGGCGGCCUACUGGGCUGUAACUGACGCUGAGGCUCGAAAGCGUGGGUAGCAAACAGG
rnacentral:rRNA from 1 species